rnacentral:lncRNA from 1 species
GAAACUUAAAUAAUUUAUAAAAUCUGUAAAAUAUUCAUUUUAAGGAAAAUAAUUUUUUUUUAUAAAAACAUGAGUGUCUCUUAAUGAGACUAACCCAAUCACUUAACUAUAGUUGAAUCGGAAAGUGUUAGAAUCCUUAUUGGCUCGGGUUUAUGCUCUCUUAUAAAUCUAACAUUGUUUAGAUAAUUAUCUCAUUUACAAAUAGAAAACAUGUGGGUUAAUGAUAGACACUUCUAAAAAAAUUAGAAUACAAAAGUGGAUCGAGUUU